GAGGUGUCGGGUUAAGUCCCGUAACGAGCGCAACCCUUGUCCUUAGUUACCAGCACGUUAUGGUGGGCACUCUAAGGAGACUGCCGGUGACAAACCGGAGGAAGGUGGGGAUGACGUCAAGUCAUCAUGGCCCUUACGGCCUGGGCUACACACGUGCUACAAUGGUCGGUACAAAGGGUUGCCAAGCCGCGAGGUGGAGCUAAUCCCAUAAAACCGAUCGUAGUCCGGAUCGCAGUCUGCAACUCGACUGCGUGAAGUCGGAAUCGCUAGUAAUCGUGAACUCAGAAUCGUCACGGUGGAAUAACGUUCCGGGACCUU
rnacentral:rRNA from 1 species